UAUUGCACAAUGGAGGAAACUCUGAUGCAGUGACACCGCGUAUAGGAAGAAGGUUUUCGGGUUGUCAACUAUUCUAGACAGGGAAGAAAAAAGACAGUACCUGUAGAAUAAGCCCCGGCUAACUACGUGCCAGCAGACGCGGUAAUACGCAGGGAGCAAGCGUUAUCCGUAAUUAUUGGGUGUAAAGGGUGCGUAAACGGGACAGCAAGUUAGUUGUGAAAGCCCUCGGCUUAACUGAGGAACUGCAACUAAAACUAUUGUUCUUGAGUGCAGGAGAGGAAAGCGGAAUUCCUAGUGUAGCGGUGAAAUGCGUAGAUAUUAGGAGGAACACCAGUGGCGAAGGCGGCUUUCUGGACUGUAACUGACGUUGAGGCACGAAAGUGUGGGGAGCAAACAGG
rnacentral:rRNA from 1 species